rnacentral:rRNA from 1 species
AUUGAACGCUGGCGGAAUGCUUUACACAUGCAAGUCGAACGGCAGCACGGGGGCAACCCUGGUGGCGAGUGGCGAACGGGUGAGUAAUACAUCGGAACGUGCCCGGUCGUGGGGGAUAACGUAGCGAAAGUUACGCUAAUACCGCAUACGAUCUGAGGAUGAAAGCGGGGGACCUUCGGGCCUCGCGCGAUCGGAGCGGCCGAUGUCAGAUUAGGUAGUUGGUGGGGUAAAGGCCUACCAAGCCGACGAUCUGUAGCUGGUCUGAGAGGACGACCAGCCACACUGGGACUGAGACACGGCCCAGACUCCUACGGGAGGCAGCAGUGGGGAAUAUUGGACAAUGGGCGCAAGCCUGAUCCAGCCAUACCGCGUGCAGGACGAAGGCCUUCGGGUUGUAAACUGCUUUUGUAUGGAACGAAAAGGCUCUGGCUAAUACCUGGGGCUCAUGACGGUACCGUAAGAAUAAGCACCGGCUAACUACGUG